GACGAACGCUGGCGGCGUGCCUAAUACAUGCAAGUUGAGCGCUGAAGGUUGGUACUUGUACCGACUGGAUGAGCAGCGAACGGGUGAGUAACGCGUGGGGAAUCUGCCUUUGAGCGGGGGACAACAUUUGGAAACGAAUGCUAAUACCGCAUAAAAACUUUAAACACAAGUUUUAAGUUUGAAAGAUGCAAUUGCAUCACUCAAAGAUGAUCCCGCGUUGUAUUAGCUAGUUGGUGAGGUAAAGGCUCACCAAGGCGAUGAUACAUAGCCGACCUGAGAGGGUGAUCGGCCAAAUUGGGACUGAGACACGGCCCAAACUCCUACGGGAGGCAGCAGUAGGGAAUCUUCGGCAAUGGAAGAAAGUCUGACCGAGCAACGCCGCGUGAGUGAAGAAGGUUGUCGGAUCGUAAAACUCUGUUGGUAGAGAAGAACGUUGGUGAGAGUGGAAAGCUCAUCAAGUGACGGUAACUACCCAGAAAGGGACGGCUAACUACGUG
rnacentral:rRNA from 1 species